GACAGAGGCCCCAAGCGUUAGGCGGAAUCACUGGGCUUAAAGCGUGUGUAGGCGGAUCGUUAAGUACCUUGUGAAAUCCCACGGCUCAACCGUGGAACUGCUGGGUAUACUGGCGAUCUUGAGCCACCUAGGGGCGAGCGGAACAAGCGGUGGAGCGGUGAAAUGCGUAGAUAUCGCUUGGAACGCCAAUGGUGAAAACAGCUCGCUGGGGGUGUGCUGACGCUGAGACACGAAAGCCAGGGGAGCGAACGGG
rnacentral:rRNA from 1 species